GGCUCUCUUGCUCGUGCCGGAAAAGUCAAGGGACAGACCCCAAAGGUUGAGAAACAAGAGAAGAAGAAACAGAAGACAGGAAGGGCCAAGAGACGCAUGCAGUACAACAGAAGAUUUGGAGUUGUCGUGUCUACAUUCGGUCGCAGAAAGGGCCCCAAUGCUAACUCCUAAAAUGUGUUUAUGUCAAAAACUGGAUUAAAAUUUCGUUGUAGCUGU
rnacentral:misc_RNA from 1 species